AUUGUUGAAUCUCGGAUUUUGAUGAUAUAAUCAAUUGGUGGGUUAAUUGAUCUAAUCCAUAUUAUUGAGUUAAGUGUGCAGGAUUAACUACGAUAACCAGAAAACAUAAAGCAAGGAUACCGGAGUCGAGCUCGAUGGACGUUUAAAAGACCGAAGAAUCAUCGGAGAUGCUGCCGGAACCAUCCGAGAAGAAAUCGGGAACGUGUUGGAAGUUCGCCGAAGAAAUCGUCGGAGGCUCGCGGAGAUCACCGAGAAGGCUCGGCUACUCGUUAAAGUCAUCACAAAGAUUGGGAGCUUGCAGGGAGUCCGUCGGAAGAAGUUCGUCGGAAAGCUCGCCGGAACAAGACUCGNNNN
rnacentral:lncRNA from 1 species